GGUUCAAUGGUCUAGUGGUUAUGAUUUCUGUCUUACACACAGAAGGUCCUGAGUUCGAGCCUCAGUUGAACCA